AGAAAAAAAAGGGGGGGAGGGGGGAUUUGAGAGUCUGAAUUUCGUGUUCUUUGCUGUCACCCUAAAAAAACUUUCUAUUAUUUCCGCAAAAACUGCAGCACCGUCGUCCGUGUCAUGAGGAAACUGGUGAAAGAAGAACUGGUGUUGAAGGAAAAAGGUGGUGGAGCUGAAGGGGUGGAUCUGAGGAAGCUCUUGUGUCGUAAGCAGUGUCGCGAAAAACACCAUUGCAGCUCCGUCAGCUCAUGGCGACGGGGACAAUAGCGACGGCGGUCGGAGCAGCGUUGAUGUUGUUUUAUGUGCUGAGCCGGCGGCUGUCGCAGAAGGCGGAGGAGGACAGCAAGGAUCACGGAGACGGCGACGACGUGUCGAAAUCGAGCAGAUCGGUGCGCCGAAGAAGGCUUUCAAGGCGGCCGACGCAGGCUCCGACGACGCUUCUGGAGUCGAUCGGAACUCGGAGACUUUGAGGUUCACGUACUCCGAGACCUUCAGGAAGUGGCCAAUCGGUGAUUUGGCCUUCGGAAUCAACUACUUCAUGCGUAAGAAGGUAAUCUGGCAGUUGCAAGUGUCUAUGCUGGGAGUGAUUCUGUGCAACUCAAAGGGGAUGGGAUAAUUGUGGAGCUGUACCAAGAUAUGAUCAUGGAAAUUCUGUUGUGGCUUCCGGUGAAAGAUCUCUUGCGAUUCAAGUGUGUUUCAAAAGGUGGAACCAACUUGUUUCCCAUUCAGUUUCUGGGGCUACGGUUUUGCAAAGGAGAUGACAACGAAGAUGAAGAUGCAGUAGCGAUUUGGGGUUGGAAGGGUUUUCCAAAUUGGUUCUCUGUUUUUCUGAGUGCAGGCCAUUUUCCUCCCCUUUUAUUGCUUACAUAAUCUUUUUAUUCUUUUAUAAUUUAUUAAAUUCCAGAUCAUUACUGGCAGCAUAUUUUUUUAAUAAAAUAUUAACAUUAGCA